GUGGUGUCAGCAGCAACAACAGUGUUCAGUGGAGAGUGGCUGCUAGAGUCAUUUGCAUAGGGACGUGUUUGCAUGUGCAGAGCAUAUUUGGUCCAGAUGCUUGAUGUUGAGGCAGCUGAACGCUUACAACUGAUCCGUCAGCACAGACGAGCGAUGGCCUUCACUGCACUCUUCCUGUGGUCUCUCGUCGUCUGCAUUCAAGAUUCCAUGGGACAGGUCACUCUUACGCAACCUACAACAGUGACCAGCAGUCCAGGAGGCUCAGUUAAAAUCAGCUGUAAACGGACUGGAAGCAUUGAUUGGGACUGUUCUCCAAAAUGCAUCUCCUGGUACCAACAGAAGUCUGAGGAGAAACCCAAACUCCUCAUCUAUAAAGUGAGCAGCCUCCAGUCUGGUAUUCCAUCUCGGUUUAGUGGCAGUGGAUCUGGGAAUGACUACAGUCUGACCAUCAGUGGAGUCCAGAGUGAAGAUGCAGGAGAUUAUUACUGCAUGAGUCGCCAUGAUCCUAGAAGUGGUGUUGCUGAGUUCCCACGGUGAUACAGAGCCGUACAAAAACCUGCUUCAGUCAGUAGCCCCAGUGAGAGCCCUACUGCAGCUGGAGCCCAGAGCAGGUGCUGAGAAGAGGGAAGUGGAGAGGAGUCACACGGACAUGACACCAGGUUCCCACGCUAGUCUCUCACCACCAACACCUUACCUUUUAAACCAUGCUGGAAGCACACGGACAUGACACCAGGUUCCCACGCUAGUCUGUCACCACCAACACCUUACCUUUUUAACCAUGCUGGAAGCACACGGACAUGACACCAGGUUCCCACGCUAGUCUCUCACCACCAACACCUUACCUUUUUAACCAUGCUGGAAGAGGACACACACACACAUGACACCAGGUUCUCACGCUAGUCUCUCACCACCAACACCUUACCUUUUAAACCAUGCUGGAAGCACACGGACAUGACACCAGGUUCUCACGCUAGUCUCUCACCACCAACACCUUACCAGGUUCCCACGCUGGUCUCUCACCACCAACACCUUACCUUUUUAACCAUGCUGGAAGCACACGGACAUGACACCAGGUUCUCACGCUAGUCUCUCACCACCUACACCUUACCAGGUUCCCACGCUGGUCUCUCACCACCAACACCUUACCUUUUUAACCAUGCUGGAAGCACACGGGCAUGACACCAGGUUCCCACGCUAGUCUCUCACCACCAACACCUUACCAGGUUCCCACGCUAGUCUCUCACCACCAACACCUUACCUUUUAAACCAUGCUGGAAGCACACGGACAUGACGCCAGGUUCCCACGCUAGUCUCUCACCACCAACACCUUACCUUUUAAACCAUGCUGGAAGCACACGGACAUGACGCCAGGUUCGCACGCUAGUCUCUCACCACCAACACCUUACCUUUUAAACCAUGCUGGAAGCACACGGACAUGACACCAGGUUCCCACGCUAGUCUCUCACCACCAACACCUUACCUUUUAAACCAUGCUGGAAGCACACGGACAUGACACCAGAGGUGAGUUCAAAUUUGGUAAACAGUGGAAAACGAGCCUGGCGAAUAUGUUUUCUCUAAACAGUUCAAUUUGAACUGGUUUGGUGUUAACAUCCCUAUGUAACAGCCAGCUCACGUUCAGUUACACUAUAUGUUUGCGGAGAACUAGGCUACCCCCUUAGUGUCUGGGUUGGUUUGUAAAGGAGUUGCAGUAAAAGACUGUAAAGGACUGUCAUUUUGUAAACAACAUGGAGACCUAAACAACAGAAGCUGUAGAUCAUUCAGACUGCCUAGUGACCUCAAUCCUGUGUGUGAACAUCCAGUUACAGUAAGAUGACCCACACUGUGCCUUCAGCCUACAGCACUCGAAUGGUCAGUGGGAAGAUGACCCUGACCCUCUGCCACUGAACCGAACUGGAACACCAGAACCUCCGGAUGUAGUCUGCUGUACAGUACCUGGACAGUCAUAGAUCACCUGUGGGUUCACCUGUGGGAUCACCUGUGGGUCCCUUCAGCAGUCCUGAUAUGGAGGUGGACUAUUUACUCCUGGAUUAAUGUGUUUCAGUGCAAGAGAUCACACACAUAUUGUUUGGGAUUACAAAUAUAUUGCUUCCUCUCACAAAUACUGCUUGGGAUAUUGGGAUAUUCUGCUCAGGCUAUAUGAUCUGAGGAUGACAAGCAUUAAUCAAGUCUAAUAAUUGAAAUACAUUACCCUUAAAAGAUAUGAAAAGUGUCCAGAGAAAGAUGGAGAUAAAAAGUCAUGUCUGGAGAGAAUUGUAAACGUAGCACAGCCUGCGCUUAUACAGUACUAUCAUCAAAAGAUGGUUAGUGGCUAUAAUGUGUUUAGCCUGCAGAACGAUGACGUAAUAAUGACGUAAGAGGAGCUGUCCUUACCGGGUGUGGUGCUGAAAUGCCAACAUGACAAAUGCCAUUAGUGAAAAUCUUUUGUGUUACAUCUAGAAACAUUAAAAUUGUAAUUUCAUAUCA